CAUAUUUUUGACAGUUGGCGAUCGCGAUUUCAUUCAAUAUAAAACCCUGAUUUCAAUUGAGUUGGAAUUGACUGUCAAUUUGGAGCACACGUAUAUCUUUAGCACUUUUAAAGAACCUACAGGCGAGUUGCUGUGAAACGCCGAUCAUCUUUUAAAAUGAAAAUCCUUUUGACUGGCGUAUUAUCCUAUCUACCCUGUCGUCGGCGAAGGGCUGCGUCUUAAAGCCGUGUAUUGCACAAACAGUCCCGCCGUCUCGCCGCCGCGGAAUCGAUUCCAAGACCCAGGCCAGCUUUCUCCAGCCCCCACAGUCACUGUUCACAGGUGUGCAUUCAUAAAAACAUAUAUCCGCGCCGUUAUCGGGAAUCGGUGACACAUUUUUACUUAAAUUAUAUAGGUUUAUAGUCCGGAUUUUUGUGUCGAAAGUGAACGUGGUUCCGUCUGGUUGUAAUAUUUCCGACAAGACACGGGAUCACCUAUGCGGGUAUUUGAGACUAAUUGAGAAACCUCCUGAUACACUCAUAGACAAGGGUAAUUGAUAAGACCACGGACAGAAGUCGGACAUAGUGCUCCCGUGGGCUGGGUCAAUAUAUACCUUUUUUACCUUAUCAAGUGUCAACGAAAACAUGUCAAGGUGAUUUCCCGCAACAUUGGACAGCUACAGACUUUAAUAAAAAGUUUAAGCGGCAGACGUCGGUUUAGAAUAAGGAGAAUGAUACUUGUGGCGUGGAGGCUAUAGAGGAGAGACAGAGAAUACGCUACUGCACUCAACAAUGAACGGAAGAAGAGUCUGGAAGUACCUGACCAUUAUAACAAUUUUACUGGAGUUCACAGAGAUACAUGCAGAAAAGUUUUGGGACAGGUGGGGGAGUUAUGGACCCUGUUCCCGAACAUGUGGCGGAGGUGUGCAAUCUAGACAGAGAAACUGUUUGUAUCAAAGGACAAGGUCAGGGAGGAAACAGAGCUGUGAUAAUAAUGCUCAGCAGGAAAAAGAGUACCAGUCCUGUAACACUCGGAGUUGUGGAGAGGGUAGUUUGGAUUUCAGAGCGAUUCAGUGCCAAGAUUUUGAUAACAUACCUUUUCUAGGCAGGGAAUACCAGUGGAAACCGUAUUAUGAUGGAGAGGAGCGCUGUAGCUUAGUGUGUUCGGCAGUCAAUACCAGUGUAUACCAUGAAUGGAGCGACAAAGUGAUUGAUGGGACAAAAUGUAACAAAUUGUCUGAUGACCAGUGUGUGGAUGGAGUCUGUCAGAAAGCAGGGUGCGACAAUGUGCUGGGGUCCCCAGCCCGCGUGAUGUGUGUGGGGUGUGUCAGGGUGAUGGACAAUCUUGUAAACUCAUUCAGGGGGCAUUCACCAUUCCACAACUGUACUCAGGUUACAAUGAAAUCAUCACAUUGCAAAAAGGAUCAACUUCCAUUCUGAUCAAAGAAAUGGAAUUCAGUCCAAAUUUUAUAG
rnacentral:sRNA from 1 species